rnacentral:rRNA from 1 species
AUGAAGCUCCUGAUCGAAGGCAAGUCUCAGAAGGUGUGCUUCGCCGAGGCCGGCAGCGAGUUCGUCGAGUUCCUCACCGGCCUCCUGUCCCUGCCGCUAGGCACCGUCACCACCCUGCUGACCAAGGAGCGCAUGUCGGGCAGCAUCGGCAACGUGCUCGGCAGCAUGGAGAAGCUCGACGCAAACUACAAGAGCAGCGAGCUGCCCCUCAGCCCGGCGGUCGCCCCCGCCGCGCUCUCCCGCCUGCAGCAGCUGCUGGGCAUGCAGCUCGGCAACGCCAGCAACAACAACACCAACGGCGUCACCUAUUUAUAA